GACGAACGCUGGCGGCGUGCCUAAUACAUGCAAGUCGAACGCACAGUUUAUACCGUAGCUUGCUACACCAUAGACUGUGAGUUGCGAACGGGUGAGUAACGCGUAGGUAACCUGCCUGGUAGCGGGGGAUAACUAUUGGAAACGAUAGCUAAUACCGCAUAAUAUUAAUUAUUGCAUGAUAAUUAAUUGAAAGGUGCAAUUGCACCACUACCAGAUGGACCUGCGUUGUAUUAGCUAGUAGGUGAGGUAACGGCUCACCUAGGCGACGAUACAUAGCCGACCUGGGAGGGUGAUCGGCCACACUGGGACUGAGACACGGCCCAGACUCCUACGGGAGGCAGCAGUAGGGAAUCUUCGGCAAUGGACGAAAGUCUGACCGAGCAACGCCGCGUGAGUGAAGAAGGGUUUCGGAUCGUAAAGCUCUGUUGUAAGAGAAGAACGGGUGUGAGAGUGGAAAGUUCACACUGUGACGGUAGCUUACCAGAAAGGGACGGCUAACUACGUG
rnacentral:rRNA from 1 species